UGCUCGACGCCUCGCGUCUGAUGCUCCACCACGCAGCUGUCCCAUUAUGCAUAUCCUGUGUGCGCUCUAGCCCCGUCGGGGCCCUGAUGAGUCUGCAACAAACCAUGCAUUACACAUCCAC
rnacentral:snoRNA from 1 species